rnacentral:lncRNA from 1 species
GAAGAUUUGGAUUAAGGGUUGAGGUUGAAUUGGAAUGAGAAGUUGGUUACAUUUUGUGUUUGUUUAAGCGUGAGUUGUGUUUGUAUGGAUGUAUUUAUGUGAAAAAAUGGAUGAAGUGAGUAUGAUGGAAAGGCUCACGCGUUUCUUGUAUAUGUUUUGAUUUUCAUCUGUUUGAUUUUAUUUGAAUAUUGUAUGUAUAUGUAUGAUGUUAGGUUUAUUUUUAAUGAUAUGUGUAUGAAAUAAAUCACGUGUUUGUUUUCUUUAUGGAUCAUUUGAUGCUUUGUUUUGCUGAGUCUUUUG